rnacentral:rRNA from 1 species
UGGGGAAUAUUGCGCAAUGGGCGAAAGCCUGACGCAGCAACGCCGCGUGAGUGAUGAAGGUCUUCGGAUCGUAAAGCUCUGUCGGCAGGAACGAGGGGUUCGUUGGCUAAUAUCCAACGGACUUGACGGUACCUGCAAAGGAAGCACCGGCUAACUCUGUGCCAGCAGCCGCGGUAAGACAGAGGGUGCAAGCGUUGUUCGGAAUCAUUGGGCGUAAAGGGCGCGUAGGCGGCUUUGUAAGUCGGAUGUGAAAGCCCAGGGCUCAACCUUGGAAGUGCAUCCGAAACUGCGAAACUAGAGUCUCGGAGAGGGUGGUGGAAUUCCCAGUGUAGAGGUGAAAUUCGUAGAUAUUGGGAGGAACACCGGUGGCGAAGGCGACCGCCUGGACGAAGACUGACGCUGAGGCGCGAGAGCGUGGGGAGCAAACAGG